rnacentral:rRNA from 1 species
UUGAGAGCGGGGCUUCGCGCUCCCGGGGGCUUCGGCCCCCAACUCUUCACCCUCUGUCUAUCUACCUUUGUUGCUUUGGCGGGCCACGGGGUCUUCCCCGCGCUGACCCCAGACGGAAACGUCCGGGCACGCGAGCGCCCGUCAGAGGCCCAAAAUAACCCUAUUAUCUUUGAAGUCCGAGUAAAAACACAAUAGAAAAAAACUUUCAACAACGGAUCUCUUGGUUCUGGCAUCGAUGAAGAACGCAGCGAAAUGCGAUAAGUAAUGUGAAUUGCAGAAUUCAGUGAAUCAUCGAAUCUUUGAACGCACAUUGCGCCCCUCGGUAUUCCGGGGGGCAUGCCUGUUCGAGCGUCAUUGCACCCCUCAAGCACAGCUUGGUAUUGGGCCUCGCCUCCCGGGGCGUGCCCGAAAAGCAGUGGCGGUCCGGCGAGACUUCGAGCGCAGUAAAUAUCUCCCGCUUUGGAAGUUCCCGUCGCGACCGGCCAGAACACCCCAUUUUCACAAUGAAUUGACCUCGGAUCAGGUAGGGAUACCCGCUGAAC